rnacentral:rRNA from 1 species
UUAGCGGCGGACGGGUGAGUAACACGUGGGUAACCUGCCUGUAAGACUGGGAUAACAUUCGGAAACGAAUGCUAAUACCGGAUACGCGGCUUGGUCGCAUGACCGAGCCGGGAAAGAUGGAGCAAUCUAUCACUUAYAGAUGGACCCGCGGCGCAUUAGCUAGUUGGUGAGGUAACGGCUCACCAAGGCGACGAUGCGUAGCCGACCUGAGAGGGUGAUCGGCCACACUGGGACUGAGACACGGCCCAGACUCCUACGGGAGGCAGCAGUAGGGAAUCUUCCGCAAUGGACGAAAGUCUGACGGAGCAACGCCGCGUGAGUGAUGAAGGUUUUCGGAUCGUAAAGCUCUGUUGCCAGGGAAGAAUGCUUGGGAGAGUAACUGCUCUCAAGGUGACGGUACCUGAGAAGAAAGCCCCGGCUAA